UACGAAGGGGGCUAGCGUUGCUCGGAAUCACUGGGCGUAAAGGGUGCGUAGGCGGGUCUUUAAGUCAGGGGUGAAAUCCUGGAGCUCAACUCCAGAACUGCCUUUGAUACUGAGGAUCUUGAGUUCGGGAGAGGUGAGUGGAACUGCGAGUGUAGAGGUGAAAUUCGUAGAUAUUCGCAAGAACACCAGUGGCGAAGGCGGCUCACUGGGCCGAUAUUGACGCUGAGGAGCGAAAGCGUGGGGAGCGAACAGG
rnacentral:rRNA from 1 species